rnacentral:rRNA from 1 species
GGGCCCGCACAAGCGGUGGAGCAUGUGGUUUAAUUCGAUGCAACGCGAAGAACCUUACCUGCCCUUGACAUCCUCGGAAGGGACCGGAAACGGACCUGUGCCUUCGGGAACCGAGAGACAGGUGCUGCAUGGCUGUCGUCAGCUCGUGUCGUGAGAUGUUGGGUUAAGUCCCGUAACGAGCGCAACCCCUAUCCUUAGUUGCCAUCGGUUCGGCCGGGAACUCUACGGAGACCGCCAGUGACAAACUGGAGGAAGGUGGGGACGACGUCAAGUCAUCAUGGCCCUUAUGGCUAGGGCUACACACGUGCUACAAUGGCCGGUACAGAGGGCCGCAAACCCGCAAGGGGAGCCAAUCCCAGAAAGCCGGUCGUAGUCCGGAUCGGAGUCUGCAACUCGACUCCGUGAAGUCGGAAUCGCUAGUAA